rnacentral:misc_RNA from 1 species
AACGCAAAUUGCGCUCGAGGCCUCGGCCGAGAGCAUGCCUGCCUCAGUGUCGGUUUCACCCUCGCCAAUCUCUCUCAUUCUCACGAGAGUGCACACGGCGGAUCUGACCGUCCCGGACAAUCAAGCGGCCGGGUCGGUUGAAGCUGAGAGGCUUGCGCGGGAUUCCUGUGUUACGCGGGAACAACAGACCGGUAGGUGAGCCCUUCGCCUCGAAGGAUCGCAUGCCGCUGCUGGACCCCGGGACCCGCUGGGCGCCCGGCAGGAGAUGUGCGGAGCCUCCGGUCAUCAUCGACCGGGGCACCCACAGCAACCUUUUCGACCUGAGUUCAGGCAAGGGCACCCGCUGAACUUAA